rnacentral:lncRNA from 1 species
AUGUGUGCAUCACACAAAAAAUAUGGCUCUUCAGGAAAGUUUGACUUCAUAGAGAAGUCAGGAUGGCUUUGUGCAUUUGAGCUGAUGGGAAUAGGAGUUUGCCAUGGAAAUUUGUCUGUCCAAGUCUGUGCGUUCCUCUGUUUUAGCACGCAGGCUCCCAGCAUUACGAAAGCUUGUUCUACGUCACGGAGGAAUUACCAUCAGCUCAUGCCGAUAAUUUAAUGAGAAGCACUUCAGAAACAUUCAUUGUUAUGAAUCGUAUCGCCGUGAGUAGCCCUGCGGUUGGUGUUGGGCCAGACAUGGAAAUGGCUCAGUGCCCAGCUCAUCUGCUUUCAGCUACCUGAGCACGGAGGUUGGUGGCUGGGAUUUGAUUGUUCCCAAGUGGAACCGCUGGAGACCACGUCUUUCUGAAAAUCCAGCCUUGGAAAAAAAAGCAAGAGCAAACACAAAAUUGGGAAGUAUUUUAGCAUAUGUAAAGAAAGGAGAAAUGCCACUUUCAAUCUGAUCUUUGAGACAUCUUUGGAGGGCCUGACCACGGUGUGACCAAAGCAGAAAAUAACCCGAGCAGCAAGAUUAUGAAAAGAUAGGAAGAGAAGAACACUUUUGAGUAAUGAGUGAAGUGUCACAAAUUACAGCUGAAAUAUUUUGUGAUUGAAUGCUGCCAUUACAACCUGAAUGUUGGCUUCUUUUCUGUGUUUGGAGUAGGGCUUUUUUAUUACGGCUGUUUGUAUAUACCCAUAGCUUGUCAUGAGGGGUUAUACACUGGUUUGCAGGAAGGCAAAAUUAUUCCAUUGAGUGUCACUUCCACUUCUACUCUUUUUCAACUUCUCCUUCCUCCCUCCCUCCCUCCCUCUCUUUUUUAGCAGAAAAAGGUGGAGAAGACUAUUAGAAGAAGAUUUAUGUAAAUGCAGACCUAAUUCAGACUAGUGUUCUAGUAGUCACAUAAAAAUGAUUCAGUGCCAAGCUUGUUGAUGUGUUUAAUAGCUCCUGGGAUGUUAGGAGUCCUCUUCCCAAUGAGGCCACUUCUGAAGGACUGAAAAUGUUGAAGAUUUUUCAGUAGGGCUGCGCUGAAUUCUAGGGUGAUGAAUCGGUGACUGCAGGAGCACCUAAUUAAAUGCUCUUUGUCCAAGAAACAUGGCUGUUAACAUGAGCAAACAGGUAGGUUGGUUUCCUGUUGGACUGAGAAUUUAAGAUGUUCAUCAAAGAUUUUGAGAACAGAUGG